AUUAUGCUUUGUUUUAUGAUUAUAAAUGUACAAAAUUAAUUCAAAUUUGGUAUGCCUAUUUUCAAGUCUGAUAUACGGUUUUCACUUGUUGUUAUUUGAAUUUGUAUUACUUCUGAAUUUAACCAAUUGUGUAAAACAACACAUAUAAAUGCAGAAUCUUUAUAUGAUUUGAUUUCCUGUAAUUUUCCCAUUUCG